rnacentral:rRNA from 1 species
UACGUAGGGGGCAGGCGUUGUCCGGAUUUAUUGGGCGUAAAGAGCGUGUAGGCGGCCAGACAGGUCCGUUGUGAAAACUCGAGGCUCAACCUCGAGACGCCGAUGGAAACCGUCUGGCUAGAGUCCGGAAGAGGAGAGUGGAAUUCCUGGUGUAGCGGUGAAAUGCGUAGAGAUCAGCAGGAACACCCGUGGCGAAGGCGGCCCCCCGGGCCGUACCUGACGCUGAGGCGCGAAGGCUAGGGGAGCGAACGGA